rnacentral:sRNA from 1 species
AUCCUCGAUCUGUUGCGGGCAGAUGAAAUGGAUGUGGCUGUCGAACCCGCCGGCGGUCAGGAUGCGGCCCUCGCCCGCGAUGGCCUCGGUGCCGGGGCCGACGAUGAUAUCGACGCCGGGCUGCGUGUCGGGGUUGCCCGCCUUCCCGAUCUUGGCGAUGCGCCCGUCCUUCAGACCCACAUCCGCCUUGUAGAUACCCGUCCAGUCAACGAUCAGCGCAUUGGUGAUCACGGUGUCCACCGCCCCUUCGGCGCGGGUGGCCUGCGACUGGCCCAUGCCGUCGCGGAU